rnacentral:rRNA from 1 species
CAGCAGCCGCGGUAAUACGUAGGUCCCGAGCGUUGUCCGGAUUUAUUGGGCGUAAAGCGAGCGCAGGCGGUUAGAUAAGUCUGAAGUUAAAGGCUGUGGCUUAACCAUAGUAGGCUUUGGAAGCUGUUUAACUUGAGUGCAAGAGGGGAGAGUGGAAUUCCAUGUGUAGCGGUGAAAUGCGUAGAUAUAUGGAGGAACACCGGUGGCGAAAGCGGCUCUCUGGCUUGUAACUGACGCUGAGGCUCGAAAGCGUGGGGAGCAAACAGGAUUAGAUACCCUGGUAGUCCACGCUGUAAACGAUGAGUGCUAGGUGUUAGACCCUUUCCGGGGUUUAGUGCCGUAGCUAACGCAUUAAGCACUCCGCCUGGGGAGUACGACCGCAAGGUUGAAACUCAAAGGAAUUGACGGGGGCCCGCACAAGCGGUGGAACAUGUGGUUUAAUUCGAUGAUACGCGAGGAACCUUACCCGGGCUUGAAUUGCAGAGGAAGGAUUUAGAGAUAAUGACGCCCUUCGGGGCCUCUGUGAAGGUGCUGCAUGGUUGUCGUCAGCUCGUGCCGUGAGGUGUCGGCUUAAGUGCCAUAACGAGCGCAACCCCUCUCUUCAGUUGCCAUCAGGUAAUGCUGGGCACUCUGGAGACACUGCCACCGUAAGGUGUGAGGAAGGUGGGGAUGACGUCAAAUCAGCACGGCCCUUACGUCCGGGGCUACACACGUGUUACAAUGGCCGGUACAGAGGGACGGUGUAAUGCAAAUUGCAUCCAAUCUUGAAAGCCGGUCCCAGUUCGGACUGGGGUCUGCAACCCGACCCCACGAAGCUGGAUUCGCUAGUAAUCGCGCAUCAGCCAUGGCGCGGUGAAUACGUUCCCGGGCCUUGUACACACCGCCCGUCAAGCCAUGAAAGCCGGGGGUGCCUGAAGUCCGUGACCGCAAGGAUCGGCCUAGGGCAAAACUGGUGAUGGGGCUAAGUCGUAACAAGGUAGCCGUA